AGGGCAUCAGAGGUCACUUGAGGGUCACCUGAGGUCACCUGGGGUUACUUGGGGGUCACCUGGGGUCACCUAGGGUCACUUGAAGGGCAUUGGAGGUCACUUGGGAGUCAUCUGAGGUCAACUGGGGUCAUCUGAGGUCACCUAGGGUCACCUGGGGUCACCUGGGGUCACUUGAAGGGCAUCGGAGGUCACUUGGGGGUCACCUGGGGUCAACUAGUGCCACCUAGGGUCACUUGGGGGUCAUCUGAGGUCACCUAGGGUCACUUGGGGUCACCUGGGGUCACUUGAAGGGCAUCAGAGGUCACUUGGGGGUCAUCUGAGGUCACCUGGGGUCACUUGGGGUCACUUGGGGUCACCUGGGGUCACUUGGGGGUCAUCUGAGGUCACCUGGGGUCACUUGGGGGUCACCCGGGGUCACCUGGGGUCACUUGGGGGUCAUCUGAGGUCACCUGGGGUCACUUGGGGUCACCUGGGGUCUGUCACGUGAUGUCACCAAUAAAGCCCUGCCAUUGGCUCCCA
rnacentral:lncRNA from 1 species